GAACCGUGCGAACGUUAUUCGGAAUUAUUGGGCUUAAAGAGCACGUAGGCGGCGUCGUAAGUUGGAAGUGAAAUCCCACGGCUCAACCGUGGAACUGCCUCCAAUACUGCGAUGCUUGAGGGAGGUAGGGGCCUGUGGAACUUCCGGUGGAGCGGUGAAAUGUGUUGAGAUCGGAAGGAACGCCAGUGGCGAAAGCGACAGGCUGGAUCUUUUUCUGACGCUGAGGUGCGAAAGCUAGGGUAGCGAACGGGGAUUAGAUACCCCGGUAGUCCUAGCCUAAACGAUGGGUACUGGGUAGAAAGCGUUCCCGAUAACGCCCUUCUGCCGGAGCGAAAGCGUUAAGUACCCCGCCUGGGGAGUAUGGUCGCAAGGCUG
rnacentral:rRNA from 1 species